UACGUAGGGUGCAAGUGUUAAUCGGAAUUACUGGGCGUAAAGCGUGCGCAGGCGGUUGUGUAAGACAGAUGUGAAAUCCCCGGGCUCAACCUGGGAACUGCAUUUGUGACUGCACGGCUGGAGUGCGGCAGAGGGGGAUGGAAUUCCGCGUGUAGCAGUGAAAUGCGUAGAUAUGCGGAGGAACACCGAUGGCGAAGGCAAUCCCCUGGGCCUGCACUGACGCUCAUGCACGAAAGCGUGGGGAGCAAACAGG
rnacentral:rRNA from 1 species